AUUCAGCCCAAGUUUAUUACCACAGUGGACUCGGGUUAUAAUUACCAACAGAGGAGAGAAUAACUAUAAGUUAUUUUGAUGUAAAAAGCAUAUUAUCCUAAGCCAACAUAAUAACACAGUUUUUAUGAAGCACAAUAAUUACUUUGAAGACUCACAGAAGUGCAUUUUUCUAAAAGAAGGAGAUUCUCAUACAGAAACAGAUUAACAGAAACAGAAACAGCAACACUAGAGAACAGCAAAAUAGUAACAUUUCAAAUAGUAACAUUUCAAGAAAAUAUAUACACCUUCACAGUAUGUGGUGGUAUCCACUUACUGUCUACUGCCUCCAUAACUCCUAAAGUCUUCUGAAGCCUUUUCACAACUGGGAAUUCUUUAGAGAAAGGCAAUCUUACCUCAUUUACUUACUUCAUCAGUAAUGCCAUUACUAUGCCUACCUAAGAAGAAAAUAUAUCAUGUGGCAGAGGACUAGAAAGAAAAAACAACAACAAAAGGCUGUGAAGAUUUGAUCAUAUGCCUACGUGUGUGGUGAAUACAAUAUUUCUUUAAUCGCAAUCAGGAAUAUAAAUCUUAUUUUGAUGCUAUGACAUAAUAAAG
rnacentral:lncRNA from 1 species